UUGCACUUCUAUGCUGCUGCCAUGGAGAACAUAGCAUUUGUUUCUUCUGGGGGAUGCAGAGGCAGGCAUCAUCUUGGAAGCAGACACAAGGCCCUUGCCAGACAGCAACCCUGUUGGUACCCUGACUUUGGACUUCUGGCUUCCAGAACUGACAGAAGUUGCUGGAUUUUGAAUCACAUGAAUUUGCAGCCAUGGUCGCAACUAGAGACUGGAGACUGGACUCGAGGGAGACCUGUUGGCUUCUGCAGUUGCCUGGCCUGAGAGCUAUGUCUUAGAGGAGUGGAGCCAAGGGAAUAAGGACUCAAACAACAAAUAAGUUGUGAUUCCUGUGCUCCUGAGUCUAGGAGAGGUCAUGAAGUAAAUGGAUCAUUGGAAGUGAUCAUUGGAAGUACAGCGAAGUGACACAGAGAAGGUUGAAGCUGCUGUUGGAGCACGUGGGAAGCGUUAGGAAGACUGUGUCAAUCAAAGCAAAAACCCUUUUCCCUUCCUGUGAUCUUUGCCAAAGAGAUGCGGGGUGACUGGAGAAAGGACACUUGACCUUCAUGUGUCAUGGUAAUAACCAAAAAUUGAAAGUGGAGAGAUGGUUCUGAAAUUUCUGAGCCUAAAUUAGUGGGACAUAGGUUAUGAAAUGAGGAACUAUGCAUCUGACUGAUAGCCCUUCAAAAACAACAAAAACUAACAGCAAAUUAGACUCUCCUUUUUGUCAUUUAUUUAAUGAUUUGUUACAGGAUACAAAUUGUUAUGGUGAUAUAAGAUAUAUCUGAGUUGAGAAGAGACUGUAAAAAAUCAUCUAGGAGUUUAAAACAUAUAUAAUGUUUUUUCCUUGUUUGAUUUUUAAAAUUCUCAGCAACUGGCUUAACAUGACCUGACUGUUCCAAGGUGGCCAUUCACCCUUUUAGAGCAAAAUAAAAAAUUUUUAACUUAUCACCAGCUAACAAAACAGAAGCAUGGAAGUGGAUGAGGGAAAACAAUGACUCCAUUUCAUUUUCCAGCUCUGCUUGGAAUUAGCUCUAGUGGCAAAGUUAAGAAAUUUUUAAAUGAGGGAUUUUAAAAAAUCAACUUUUUUUCUUAUAGUUUAAGAAAUCCAUUUCCUUAAUUUAGAAGAGAAAAAGGAGAAGUCUUAAAAGCCUUGAAAGGCCGUAUAGAUUCAGCUAAUUCUGUAAACAUUCUUUGCUCAAAGAGACACAGACGUUGUUAAGAAGAUGAAAAGACAUAGCAAUUCAGUAGCACAGAUAGAGCAUGAGGUUCGUAAAUUAAAUAGGCAGAAUACAAGCCAAAUUAUUAAGGAAACCCUUUGAAGAGAAGUA